rnacentral:piRNA from 1 species
UGGCGCACGAUGUAGGGCACCUUGGACCUC